AAAACAUCCAAAAACUCGAACAACUCUCUACAAACCAUAUCUCAUUUACAUAUAUAACUGUCAAUAUACAACUCUGCAUUACUUCUACAAAUACAUACUAGUAAUAUGUACAAAUACCAGUAUAUCAAGAGAGAUAUAAACAUGUUGUGCGCUCAUACAAAAAUAUCAUCUCUCUCAACAAAAGAUCAAAAUGGUUAUACACCAACAGACCGACCAUAUUAUCUACACCAGAAACUGUCCAAACUAAAUAAUGCUAGUGUUGUUCCUGAUCAUCACCAUCAAAAUCCUGAAGCUCAAUAUCUACGUUCCGAGACCAAAAAACGUACCCAACUGUGCAAAAACAACACAACUUGGCUCAACACAAAGCUGGAAUGAGUACUAUACUACUAAAGAAAACAACAAUUCAUUGGUCUCUUAACAUACAUGGCAGGACUGUAGUUCCUCACAACCAGGCAAUUCAGUUUCCCACCAUGUAUCACAUAUCCCAAAUAAAUCAAUAAUGUAAAAUAAAACCAAAUUUACCAUCACCUCUGCGAUCUGGUAGGGUAGGCAUCACCCUGCAAGAAAUUAUUAAGAGCCUACCCUCCUGCAAAAGAUAUCGUAAUAUUUACAGGAAUAAAGAAUAUAUUAACCAACUCGACGUAAAUAAAGAGAUUCCAUAAACUUAUCUAAUACCAACAGACAAGAAUUUAAACUUUAACAUGAAAGCGCGCAAACAAGCACAACCAUAGCAUCACGAAACCCAUAACUAGCCAGACUCCACGAAAGCCGCUCCUACACACAUUUCCAACUUACCCAGAUAUCCCUGGGGCCCUCACAUAUACCCAAUGACCACUUCAGGCUAGUAGACUGAUUCCCUUGAGGAGACUUAGGCAAACCAUCAAUGAAGUCCAUUGUAAUGUGUUCCCACUUCCACAUAGGAACCUCAAGCGGUUGUAACAAACCUGACGGCUUUUGAUGUUCAACUUUCACUUGUUGACAUGUAACACACUGCCCUACAUAUUCAACAACAUCUCUUUUCAUUCUUUCCCACCAAAAUGUCUGCCUCAGAUCAUGAUACAUUUUUGUUCCCCCUGGAUGAAUGAUGAAACGAGAGCGGUGUGCUUCAUAAAGAAUUUCCCUUUUCAGUUCAUCAUUAUCUGGUACGCACAAGCAGCCAUUAAACCUCGAUCCCCCAUCACAAUCUAUAGACCAUUCAGUAGGACAAUCAUCCAAAAGAUCAACGACCAGAUCAUCAAGUCGACUUAGCAAUUUAGGAUUAGCAAGUUGUCCAUUAAUUACCCGAGUAAUCAAAGAAGGGCGCACGGUCAAAACACCAAUAUAUACGCUGCCUCGUUACCAUGUACCGGUUGUUUAUCAUAGGCUGUAAGUGUCUCUAAUUGUUUCCACUCAUUCAUCAUCAUAAUAGCUAAUUCUCCAUGUUGUCGACUCAAGGCAUCCGCAACCACAUUCGCUUUGCCAGGAUGAUAUAAGAUCUGGAAAUCAUAGCAACUAAUGAAUUCAACCCACCUUUGCUGCCUUGUAUUCAGAUCUUUUUGAGAAAACAAAUAUUUCAAACUCUUGUGGUCUGUGUACAUAUCAAACUUUUCACCAUACAGAUAAUACCCCCAUAUCUCCUUUCAUGAGGCUUCAAUUGACAAGAAGCAUAUGCAACAACCUUUUGCUCCUUCAUUAAAACACAACCCAAACCAGUCCCACAUGCAUCAGUAUACACCACCAACUUCCCGCCUCUUAUUGGAAUAACCAAAAUAGGAGCAGCCGUCAACCGUCUUUUCAACUCUUGAAAAGACCUCUCACAAUUUUCAGUCCAUAAGAAUUUAACAUAUUUCUUUGUUAAUUGGGUUAAUGGAGCUGCAAGAAUAGAGAAUUUCUCGAUAAAGCGCCUAUAGUAACCUGCCAAACCUAGGAAACUCCGAAUCUCGGUAACUGUAGUAGGCCGCUUCCAAUCUUGUACAACUACAACUUUCUCUGGGUCUACACCAAUGCCCUUACAAGAUAUAAUAUGGCCUAAGAAUCUCACUUCUUUGUCCCUAAAGUGGCAUUUACUGAACUUGGCAUAUAAUUUCUGCUCCCUAAGCGUUUGCAAGACAAUCCUCAAGUGGUUCAUAUGCUCCUCUUGAUUCCGAGAAUACACCAGGAUGUCGUCAAUGAAAACUAUUACAAAUCGAUCAAGAUAUGGGCAGAAGAUUCGAUUCAUUAAUUCCAUAAAGAAAGCUGGAGCAUUGGUUAAUCCAAAUGGCAUGACUGGGUACUCAUACAGGCCAUAUCGAGUUCUAAAUGUAGUCAAAGGUAUACUAUUCUCCUCAACACCCAUUUGAUGAUACCCCGUCCUCAAGUCAAACUCAGAGAACACAAUUGCACGCCUUAGUUGAUCUAGAAGAUCAUCGAUACGUGGUAAGGGAUACUUGUUCUUUAUAGCGACGUUAUUCAGUUCACGAUAAUCAAUACACAUUCUAAGGGUACCAUCCUUCUUAGAGACAAAAAUGGCAGGUACUCCCCAUGGCGAGUUACUCGGCCAAAUAAAUCCCUUCUUGAGCAUUUUGUUUAGUUGGUUUUUCAUCUCUUCAAGCUCUUUGCGAGCCAUUCUAUAUGCCGCCCUUGAAAUAGGCGCAGUUCCAGGAAUAAGAUCACUAUGAAACUCAACCUCUCGCUUAAGAGGAAGCCUUGAAAUCUCCUCAAAUACAUCAGGGAACUCACAAACAACCUCAAUAUCAACAAGGUCCUUUUUAGGGAUCUCCAAAGAACACAAGAAACUCGUCAGUACGCAGUCUCUGGGAUUCACAAAAACAUGAGUCAACCUUGGCCUCCCAAGAAUCCUUAAGACAAUUAAAUUAGCGGCACAAUCCAAAACAGCAUAGUUUUUUCUUAACCAAUUCAUCCCUAAGAUAAGAUGAAAUCCUUUGAAACCAAGUACAACCAAGUCCACAGUAAAUACACAACGUGCAAAUUGAAAUUGAAAAUCUUUACACUGAUCAUACAAAAUUAUACAAAGUAGUAGAACCCCCAGUAGGCGUUUGUACACACAAAGGCAUCACUAAGGAAUUGUCGUAAGACGCUUCCUCUCUACUAACUGGCGAGAAAUAAAAGAAUACGAGGCACCCGUAUCAAAUAGCACACAAAACUAGAACUAUCUGAAAAUAUGGUACCUUGUAAUGCAUCUUGAUCUGUAUAGACAACAAAAAUCUGCGCUGGAACAUGUCCACCAGGUUUGCCUCUCUGAAUUUUCUGCCCCCGCUUCUUUUGUGGACAAUUCUGAGCUCUAUGACCAAUCUGUCGGCAUUCCCAACAAGGACCCUGAAAUGGUUGAGGUGUGGCUUCCAUCGCUGCUACUAAAGGUGGUGCUGGUAAUGGUGCAUAUGCAGGACGAUAUUCUAUUAUUUUCUCAGUCAUUGCUGGUUCUUGGUAACCUCCCUUAGGUUUAUGCGGAUUAGGAUCAUAAGGUUCAUACCGCUCUUUAUCUUUCUGGUCACCAUGAGAUUUCCACCCUCGAGAAGAGUCGCCAGAUUUUUCAUUACCUUUAAACUUCUUAUGUUCUUUCUCCUUUUCCUCGAGCAUCAAUGCAAUAUCCAGAACAUUUUCAAAGGACUCUCUGAAGAAUGGAAGAAUUGCUCGAGAGAUAAAAUAGUUCAAUCCACGAAUGAACUUCUCAUUCUUCCUUUUCUCCGUAUCAAUCAGAUUAGGAGCAAAGCGAGACAACUCAUUAAAGCAAGCGACAUAAGCACUAACUGACAUAUUCCCUUGCACCAAACGAGCAAACUCUUCAGCCAACUGGGAUUGUACAGCAUAUGGAAUAAACUUACUGAAAACCUGCUCUUUGAAAUGUUCCCAUCUGAAUGUAGCUAAAGGCAAACUCGUCUUAAUCGACCUCAACCAUAGUAAAGCUGAACCUGUCAGUUGAUGUGCUGCCAACUCAAAUUUCUAUACCUCUGAUAAGGUCAUACGCUCGAAAAUAUUCUCACACUCCUCUAACCACUUGUAGGCGACAAUCGCAAUUUCAACCUCAUCUCCACUGAAUUUCUGACCUCCCAAUCCUUUGAAAUCUUUAUUACGUUUUGCAAAGGGAUCGCCACUAGUUCCAACUCGAUCAUCAUGUAAAGAUUGCACCAACUGUUGACGAUCCUCUUGCAUAGACUUAAUAAACUGCAUAAGCACAUCCCUUGGAAUCGCACCAGUAGCAGUCCCACUACUCUGAGGUAUUUCACCUCCUCCAGCCAUAACCUUCAAAACCAAUGAAGCAUAUAUCAAUAUCUCCCCAACUUAAUCCAAUAAUAUUGAAAUCCAUCAAACAAUGCACUUAAUCAUCAAUAUCAUAUGUUAGCGGUCAAAAUCUCAGAUAGCACAAAAUCUCAAACAAACCCAUUUGCCACAUUCCGAGAAUCGCUUAGACCUUCUCGGCCUAAUUCAACCUAAAGCUCUGAUACCAAUCUGUCACACCCCAAAUUUAAGAACAAUUAUGUGCACCCGACAUGUGGUGCAAUAACUUGUCACAAAACUCGAGGCAUGAAGGUAACGACAACUAAGUCCAGACUGGAGAAGUAAAUUAUACAAAGUUGUAGGUAACCCAAAAAAGACGGAAUAAAACAUCCAAAAACUCGAACAACUCUCUACAAACCAUAUCUCAUUUACAUAUAUAUAACUGUCAAUGUACAACUCUGCAUUACUUCUCCAAAUACAUACUAGUAAUAUGUACAAAUACCAGUACAUCAAGAGAGAUAUAAACAUGUUGCGCGCUCAUACAAAAAUACCAUCUCUCUCAACAAAAGAUCAAAAUGGUAAUACACCAACAGACCGACCAUAUUAUCUACACCAGAAACCGUCCAAACUAAAGAACGCUAGUGCUGCUCCUGAUCAUCACCAUCAAAAUCCUGAAGCUCAACAUCUACGUUCUGAGACCAAAGAACGUACCCAACCGUGCAAAAACAACACAACUUGGGUCAGCACAAAGCUGGAAUAUGUACUAUACUACUAAAGAAAACAACAAUUCAUUGGUCUCUUAACAUACAUGGCAGGACUGUAGUUCCUCACAACCAGGCAAUUUAGUUUCCCACCAUGUAUCACAUAUCAAUAAUGUAAAAUAAAACCAAAUUUACCAUCACCUCUGCGAUCUGGUAGGGUGGUAUCACCCUGCAAGAAAUUAUUAAGAGCCUACCCUCCUGCAAAAGAUACCGUAAUAUUUACAGGAAUAAAGAAUAUAUUAACCAACUCGACGUAAAUAAAGAGAUUCCAUAAACUUAUCUAAUACCAACAGACAAGAAUUUAAACUUUAACAUGAAAGCAAGCAAACAAGCACAACCAUAGUAUCACGGAACCCAUGCCUAGCCAAACUCCACGAAAGCUGCUCCUACACACAUUGCCGACUUACUCAGAUAUCCCUGGGGCCCUCACAUAUACCCAAUGACCACUUCAGGCUAGUAGACUCAUCAAUGGGAUAUCAAAGCAAAGCCCAAAACCCCUGACAGGUUGUAAUAUAUGCGUGUGCGCUAUAUGCUCUAACGUCGGCCUAUCCGGAGUGUCGAAGGAGCCACAAGUCCGUCGCCAACCUUUCCAAAUAUUCGAGGACCAAAGGAUAAGAGCCAUCCUAUCCGAACUUUACGAAAUCAAGGGUCAACUCAUCGUUUACCUUAAAGGUUUUCCCUAAGGGUUUUAAAACUGGUUUUAUCAUUUGAAAACCUUUUAUUUCUCUAAGUUGAUUUCCCGGUCGUGGCAGGCUAGGAUAGAUCAAGUGACACCCACAAAGCACAUUCACAACAUGUUAUAGCAUACAUAACACAACCACUACAGUUAUAGGCUUCACGUAAUCCAAAAUCACGGACUAACUACUAUAAUUAAGCUAAUAAUGCAACCAGAAAACUGCUGAAAAUAACAAUAUUCGGAUGACCAUUAAAAACGCAACGUGGGCGAGUGCACUGUGAACAAAGUUUAAAGAUACAAGAAUCUAUUUUAUACUGCAAUUGGAUUCAAUUAAAAAGGUAUUAUAUCCAGGGAGUUGUGAAUUUUCAAACAUCAACAGUUCAGAAACGUUUCGGUUAUCCUUGUCAGACUUGCGUCUCAUUUUACUCUAUGUUCCUUAUAUAAUUUUCAGAGACGCAUAAAAUACCAUGUGUAGGUCUAAGAAUCUAGUUUGUACAGCAACUUAAAUCACUAAAAACACAUUUCACAUGAACAUUUAAUGCGAAAAAUAGCAACGCUGUACAAAUCUGCCAGCAAUUGAGCCUAAACCUGGAGUACUAACACCAAGUACUCCCAACAGCUCAAAUCGAUCUCCGCCCAUCUCAAAUCAGGCAAAAGACCUUUGAAAUAUCGCAAAUUCAAAUCAAAUAUGGGGGUUUAUAGAAACCCACCGCAUAUUAUUAACAAAACAACCUAUGUAUAGAACUCACAGGAAAAAUACCAAUACUUUGUAUACUCCUCUUCCUUGCUGCUGCUUAUCUUCUUCCUCUUCCUUCAUUUAUUUUUUCUUUCAAUUCUUCC
rnacentral:lncRNA from 1 species